GUAUUCAAUAAUAAUAAUAAUGAU
rnacentral:misc_RNA from 1 species